AUGCCCUACGCCGACGCGGACCGCACCCUCCGCGCGCUCGCCGCCGCCGCCGAGGGCUUCGGCCGCCGCGCCAUCGGGGGCCUCCACGGCACCCUCUACCACGUCACCUCCCUCCAAGACGACGGGCACGGGACGUUGCGGGAGGCGUGCCGAGCCAAGGAGCCGCUGUGGGUCGUCUUCGAGGUGUCCGGCGACAUCCACCUCCACACCUACCUCCGUGUCUCCUCCCACAAGACCAUCGACGGGCGCGGGCAGCGGGUCCGGCUCACCGGCAAGGGGCUCCAGCUCAAGGCUUGCCACCACGUCAUCGUCUGCAACCUCCAGUUCGAGGCCGGCCGCGGGCACGACGUCGACGGCAUCCAGAUCAAGCCCGGCUCCACCAACAUCUGGAUCGACCGCUGCUCCCUCGCCGACUACGACGACGGCCUCAUCGACAUCACGCGACAGAGCACCGACAUCACCGUCUCCAGAUGCCACUUUGCAAAGCAUGACAAGACGAUGCUCAUUGGCGCGGACCCAACACACGUCGACGACAGGUGCAUCAGGGUGACCAUCCACCAUUGCUUCUUUGACGGCACGCGGCAGAGGCACCCGCGCCUGCGCUUCGGCAAGGUCCACCUCUACAACAACUACACCAGGGACUGGGGCAUAUACGCCGUCUGCACCGGCGUCGAAGCUUAG
rnacentral:rRNA from 1 species